rnacentral:rRNA from 1 species
AGACCCGAAACCCGGUGAUCUAGCCAUGGGCAGGUUGAAGGUUGGGUAACACUAACUGGAGGACCGAACCGACUAAUGUUGAAAAAUUAGCGGAUGACCUGUGGCUGGGGGUGAAAGGCCAAUCAAACCGGGAGAUAGCUGGUUCUCCCCGAAAGCUAUUUAGGUAGCGCCUCGUGAAUUCAUCUCCGGGGGUAGAGCACUGUUUCGGCUAGGGGGCCAUCCCGGCUUACCAACCCGAUGCAAACUGCGAAUACCGGAGAAUGUUAUCACGGGAGACACACGGCGGGUGCUAACGUCCGUCGUGAAGAGGGAAACAACCCAGACCGCCAGCUAAGGUCCCAAAGUCAUGGUUAAGUGGGAAACGAUGUGGGAAGGCCCAGACAGCCAGGAUGUUGGCUUAGAAGCAGCCAUCAUUUAAAGAAAGCGUAAUAGCUCACUGGUCGAGUCGGCCUGCGCGGAAGAUGUAACGGGGCUAAACCAUGCACCGAAGCUGCGGCAGCGAACGUAUCACUUAAAGCGAUUCAGCGGGUUACGAUUGACGGAGCGAAGCGACGUCAAAGCGUAUACAAAGUCGAGUCGGUUUAAGGAUACGUUCGUUGGGUAGGGGAGCGUUCUGUAAGCCUGUGAAGGUGGCCUGUGAGGGUUGCUGGAGGUAUCAGAAGUGCGAAUGCUGACAUAAGUAACGAUAAAGCGGGUGAAAAGCCCGCUCGCCGGAAGACCAAGGGUUCCUGUCCAACGUUAAUCGGGGCAGGGUGAGUCGACCCCUAAGGCGAGGCCGAAAGGCGUAGUCGAUGGGAAACGGGUUAAUAUUCCCGUACUUGGUGUUACUGCGAAGGGGGGACGGAGAAGGCUAUGUUGGCCGGGCGACGGUUGUCCCGGUUUAAGCGUGUAGGUGUGUGUUCCAGGUAAAUCCGGUUCACUUUAAC